AGAAACAGGAGGGUGAGGAGUCACAGGACAGAGUCAGAGAGAAACAGGAGGGUGAGGAGUCACAGGACAGAGUCAGAGAGAAACAGGAGGGUGAGGAGUCACAGGACAGAGUCAGAGAGAAACAGGAGGGUGAGGAGUCACACAGGACAGAGUCAGAGAGAAACAGGAGGGUGAGGAGUCAAACAGGUAGAAACAGGAGGGUGAGGAGUCACAGGACAGAGUCAGAGAGAAACAGGAGGGUGAGG